UUGACGGGACCCCGCACAAGCGGUGGAUCAUGUUGUUUAAUUUCGAUGAUACGCGAAGAACCUUACCAGGUCUUGACAUCCCCCGCGAUGCUUUAGAGAUAAAGCGGAGGUAUUCGGGGAGACAGGUGGUGCAUGGUUGUCGUCAGCUCGUGUCGUGAGAUGUUGGGUUAAGUCCCGCAACGAGCGCAACCCUAUUGCUAGUUACCAUCAUUAAGUUUGGGGACUCUAGCGAGACUGCCAGUGAUAAACUGGAGGAAGGUGGGGAUGACGUCAAAUCAUCAUGCCCCUUAUGACCUGGGCUACAAACGUGAUACAAUGGCUGGAACAAAGGGAUGCGAAGCAGUGAUGUGGAGCGAAACCCAUAAAAACAGUCUCAGUUCGGAUUGAAGUCUGCAACUCGACUUCAUGAAGUCGGAAUCGCUAGUAAUCGCGGAUCAGAACGCCGCGGUGAAUACGUUCUCGGGGUUU
rnacentral:rRNA from 1 species